GGUGAUAACGGGUAACGGGGAAUCAGGGUUCGAUUCCGGAGAGAGAGCCUGAGAAACGGCUACCACUUCCAAGGAAGGCAGCAGGCGCGCAAAUUACCCAAUCCCAGCACGGGGAGGUAGUGACGAAAAAUACGGAUACGGGACUCAGCAGAGGCUCCGUAAUUUGAAUGAGUACAACCUAAAUCCUUUAACGAGGAUCCACUGGAGGGCAAGUCUGGUGCCAGCAGCCGCGGUAACUCCAGCUCCAGAAGCGUAUAUUAAAGUUGUUGCAGUUAAAAAGCUCGUAGUUGGAUCUGGGUCGCAUGGCUACGUGCCGUCGCUUGUAUCCCUAGCCUGACUUUGUUCGGCUGGUUUGCGAGUCGGUUUCGUGGCUGUGUAGCCUUUCUGCCGUAUCUGUUCGUUCUGACAGGUGCCGAUGGUUCAUCCGUUGGUAUGCUUCCAGAUGCCUUUAACCGGGUGUCGGGGGCGGACGGCUCGUUUACUUUGAACAAAUUUGAGUGCUCAAAGCAGGCCUAUGCCUGAAAAAUCUUGCAUGGAAUAAUAGAAUAGG
rnacentral:rRNA from 1 species